CCCUCUCUAGGUUGGAGUCUUUUCUCUCCAGUGACAUUGAGUUCCCAGCCAACCUUCAGCCAUGAAGAUUCUCUACCUUCUCUUUGCUGUCCUCUUCCUGGUGCUUCAAAGCUCUCCUGGAUACACCCAGUUUAUCAGUAACUCCGCUGCAUGUUAUCGUGCUCGGGGCACAUGCCGCCGUCUGUGCAUCGGCAGCCGAUUGAUUGGAACCUGCGGUCAAGGGCAGAAUUGCUGCAGGAGGAGGAGAUGAGUAAGUUUGGAUUCUGUCAGCCAGUGAGUGAUGGCAGCAGAGACUGGCAAUGAAGGAUCUCUGGGAAUUUGGCAGAUGACGCAUGGCUUCCAAAAUCAUCGCAUGCUUCUCAAUUGGCCUGCAAAGAAUCUCACAAGCUGGAAAAUUCCACAAGGGAGCCCUUGUGGCAUAUCUAAUAGCUGCUUCUUCGCCUUUUAAUAAAAGGAUCUGCUUAUGGUGGUACAUUGCAAA